GGUAAAUGAAAAGUGCAAUGAAAUCAAAUCGGAAUGAAUUUUAGAAUUUCCUUCAAUGUGGCCCACGCUAUGCCAGAGGCAGAGAAUGAAUGAAUCUCAAAGACAUGGCUUCUGGCCCCCAGGAGUUACAAUGAUCUGUGUCAACAUUGGCAUGCCUGAGAAAUGCAUGUGACUUUCCCAUCAGGGUUUCCCCGGGGGUUCAGUUAACCUUUCUCUUCCAAGCUACCCUCUCUUGUAGUGAUAUCAACUGUGCCCUUGGUUUCAGCUCCCAUUCCCUAGCCAACAUCUCUCCCACUGAUACACGACCAUCUGUUUCUUUCCUACCCACCAGGCCCGUGUAACUGAUUACCUACUCAUGCUAUUUCACUGAUGUCCCACCUGUGCCUCAAAACCCAGCAUGUUCAAAACUUGAUUCAUCAUCGUUUCUGAAAGAACGGCUUAUCCUCUUUUGUUUUGUUUCUUUAGAAAUGAUUCUACCAAUGCCAGCGGCAUGCACCAGAAACCAGGAAGGAAUCAUACAGCUGAGCCAACCUGCUGUCCUUUAAAACACUUGACCACAAUUCUCCAGUGGAUACUCAACUCUGGCUUCAAACUCCCUUGUCUCUCCGCUCCUGUCCUAGGGAUGAGGGAGCAGAAGGCAAGCUUAGGACAAAGCAGAAACUGGCACCCUACACCCUCUCCCCAUACCAUAUGUGUAACAUUCCUCAUGCACUCCCGGCUGCCCUAAAGGAAAAAUGAUGCUUAACUGAUAGAGAUCCCAGUCCUGCAGGACAGGAGUCUCCCUCCAUCUACAAAUGUCCUAGCGACUUACAAGGAAGGAAGAAGCUUUCUCAUCAAUAGCCUGACUUCCAGAGACCCAUACCUCAGUUUCCGGAAGCCCUAACAUCACCCUCCCCUCCAUAAAAUUGAGGGAGGCUAAGGGGAAGGGAAGUGUAAUAAAACUGAAUUUCUUCUAAGCCCAAAGCCCACUGACAAGGAUGUGUGAUAGGAGGAAUGUAACAUAUCUCCAGGAAACUCCCGACUGUCUUCAUGCUUU